CAAUAGCGUAUAUUAAUGUUGUUGCAGUUAAAAAGCUCGUAGUCGGAUUUUGGGAGCAUGUUGCACUGUCUGCCGAUUGGUAUGUACGGUUUAACGGCUUCAUUCCUUGACAAAACUCUGGUGGGCCUUCAUUGGUCUACUUGUUGGGUUGUCGUCUUUUACUUUGAGAAAAUUAGAGUGUUCAAAGCAGGCUAUCGCCUUGAAUAUGUUAGCAUGGAAUAAUGAUAUAGGACUUUGGUUCUAUUUUGUUGGUUGUUCGAGAACCGAAGUAAUGAUUGAUAGGGACAGUUGGGGGCGAUCAGUAUUCUGAAGCGAGAGGUGAAAUUCUUGGACCUUCGGAAGACUAACAACUAGCGAAAGACAUUUGUCCUAGGAUGUUCUCUUUAAUUCAAGAACGAAAGUUGGGGGAGUCGAAGACGAUCAGAUACCAU
rnacentral:rRNA from 1 species